rnacentral:rRNA from 1 species
UACGAAGGGGGCGAGCGUUGUUCGGAUUCACUGGGCGUAAAGGGUGCGUAGGUGGUGAGGUAAGUCGGAUGUGAAAUCUCCGAGCUCAACUCGGAAAUGGCAUUGGAAACUACCUUGCUCGAGGGUUGGAGGGGGGACUGGAAUGCUUGGUGUAGCAGUGAAAUGCGUAGAUAUCAAGCGGAACACCAGUGGCGAAGGCGAGUCCCUGGACAACUCCUGACACUGAGGCACGAAAGCUAGGGGAGCAAACAGG